rnacentral:rRNA from 1 species
GUGGGGAAUCUUAGACAAUGGGGGCAACCCUGAUCUAGCCAUGCCGCGUGAGUGAUGAAGGCCUUAGGGUCGUAAAGCUCUUUCGCUGGGGAAGAUAAUGACGGUACCCAGUAAAGAAACCCCGGCUAACUCCGUGCCAGCAGCCGCGGUAAUACGGAGGGGGUUAGCGUUGUUCGGAAUUACUGGGCGUAAAGCGCGCGUAGGCGGAUUGGAAAGUUGGGGGUGAAAUCCCGGGGCUCAACCCUGGAAUGGCCUUCAAAACUCCCAGUCUUGAGGUCGAGAGAGGUGAGUGGAAUUCCGAGUGUAGAGGUGAAAUUCGUAGAUAUCCGGAGGAACACCAGUGGCGAAGGCGACUACCUGGACUGAUACUGACACUGAGGUGCGAAAGCGUGGGGAGCAAACAGGAUUAGAUACCCGAGUAGUCC